rfam:Ornithorhynchus anatinus chromosome 2, whole genome shotgun sequence.
GCGCUUACUUGGCAGGGGAGAUAACAUGAUCACAUAGGGUGUUUUCCCAGAGUGAGGCUCAUCCUUUGCACUCAGGGUGUGCUGACCCCAGAGAAUUCCCCAAAUGCAGGAAACUCGACUACACAAUUUGUGUUAGUGGGGGACUGUGCUUGUAUUCUUCCCUG